ACAAGCACGUGACAGUUAUGAAUAAUCAAUGAGGUCAGCAAAUCAAAACAAAGAUGGACAGAUGAAAAUGAAAAGAGAAACAGAGGCAGACAGAGAUUGCCAAAAUCGAUCAGAAAGCGACGGUAAAUGAAAAAUGUAGGAAAGAUAUUGACGUCGAUGGUUUAUUUAGGCAUUCAUUGAAAGAAAAGGAUAGCAUGCAAAGCUUCAAAUGGAGUGGGAAAUGGAGGGCGUGGAAACGAAACAUCACGAUAGGGCAUCUCAGCUGUUCUUCUCCAUCAUUUGACGGAUGAGCAUGAGUGGCCUCCCCCGAUUCAAUAUUAUGAGUAAAGUCAUGGGCCAUUGAGCCAAGAGGAGAGGAAUUCACCAUGGCUUAACAAUAAAAAAACACUUUAGUACCCUUAAAGCCCUCAGAGUGAUUGUCCUUGACAACCACCUUCCAUCAAAGAUGCAUACUAUCUAGUAUACAGACUAAACCGUGCAUGGAACAAUAGAAGAGGAUGGCAAUAUUCCUCAGUAAACGCAGUGAAAGAAAAAAGACCUAUCCAUACAGAGUCGCUGAAGAAACUGAUCUUCAUGUGUCACUUGACCAACAAUUUUUCGAUAUGGGUAGAAAGGCUGUUAUGGAGAAGCACUAUCCUCGACAAAUCUCUAGCCACCUUGAACAGUUAUCUCCUUAACCAAGAAGGGAAUUGUACAGCGAGCAAGAAACUAGGUUUAAUAAGAGACAUUUCUAGAGGUUUACUAUGUGCUCCAAUAUUCAUGAAACUUAAUGACAAUGGUCUCAUUGUUGUCUUGUUUGAAACUAGGUCACAUGUGGACUGAAUGGAAGUCACUUGAUUUUAUUUUUAAAACAUUAUAGAAUCAAACCUUGAUAUUGCUUUGUAAGAUUACAUGUGUUCAAACUUAGUGAGAUUGUUCACCUUGAUGAAAUGUCAAGGGAGAUCAAGUUUGUCACAUACGGUAAAAAAUAUGGUCACUUCUUAAGAAAUACUUGGGUACUAGAAGCAAAAUAUGUACUCGCAAUCAUGUAAAUUUGUGUGUAUAUUUGUUCUCUUCAGCUUUAUAAGUCGUGUUACCUGCGACAUGCUAACGCAUUUUAAGUAUUUAAAAAAAGUUUGAUUUUAUAUUAAAGUGGAUGGAACUUGACCAAAACCCCUUUGAAAAUAGGGUAUAUCAAAAGCACAUAGGAUACUUUG